GAAUUUGUUGGCUCAAAUUCACUUUAGAUGAUUUGCAAGAUUAUGCUAUGCAACAAACAAUCUCAAAAAGGAAAAAGAUGUGGCUUAAAGGUGCCUUACAUAUCAGCGGUAUGGCAUAGUUUCAUUGGCAGCCUUUGUUUUCUUUCUUGGGUAACAUAAAACAAUGUAAGUCUAAUGCGUUCUUUUUUCUGUUUCGCUAAAGCUUUCACCAAGCCUAAGGCUGGAGAGGGGUCCUAACUGAGCCCUGACCAGACCAGGGAGCCCUACUAUGCAAUCUCCUCAGGUUAGGAAGGGCCCGGUACGACCGGCCCAGAAGGCCUGGCCGAUCAACAGGCGCCGGGCCGACGGUGGUGGGCUCGCUUCCUGAGGCUGCCCUUGGUCAUGCGGAAGGGGACUGGCUGGCGAUAACACCCUGGCGAAGCAAGGUGGACAGUGACUCCCGCCCGGUUCGAGCCCGCCUANNNNNNNNNNNNNNNNNNNNNNNNNNNNNNNNNNNNNNNNNNNNNNNNNNNNNNNNNNNGGUCGGAUGCGGUGACUCACGCCUGUGAUCCCAGCACUUUGAGAGGCCGAGGCGGGCAGAUCACAAAGUCAGGAGUUCGAGACCAGCCUGGCCAAAAUGGUGAAACCCCAUCUCUACUAAAAAUACAAAAAUUAGCCAGGCGUGGUGGCACGUGCCUGUAAUCCCAGCUACUCGGGAGCCUGACGCAGAAGAAUCGCUUGAACCCAGGAGACAGUGGUUGCAGUGAGCUGAGAUCGCACCAUUGCACUACAGCCUGGGCGACCGAGCGAGACUGUCUCAAACAAACAACAACAAAAAGAGGUCCUUUGCAUUAGUUCUUCAGAUUGGAUUCUCUAUUUGCAUUUUAAAAAGAGGAGGUAGAAUACGGCAGAGCACAUACAGGACACCGAUAUGGAAGGCAUCAGUCCUCGUGCGGCUCCUGGAUUAACCACGCUUUCUGGUUUCUGUGUUCUAUGGCGCUUUGGCAUCGCAGGAGGCUUUGCUGGUGGGGAAGGGACUGCCCCUCCCAGGGCUGGCUAGUUCUGGAGACAGCACACACCUCCCUAUGCAAACCAGCAGUCAGAAGCCCCUGCCCCCACCACACCCUUUAUCUAACUCACACACCCAGGGAAUAUUCUCCCUGCCCCAUCUCACUCCAGAGCAUGGUACUGGAUGACUAGGGACCACCCCAUAGCCCCGGGCCUGCCAACAUUAGGCAAACGGGCCCACCCGAAGUUUGCUCAAACUCACCUCCACCCUCAUCUAUUCCUUCCCACAGAGACCCCAGUGAAGGCCUGGCCUGGGCCCUCCCCUUGCUCCUUCUGCCUCGGGACUGACCUGGUGCUUCCCCAUGCUGGAAAGUCAUCAACUCUUCAUUCAAAGGCAGUGUCUCCCAGGCUGUCAUCUGACCAGAGCUGAGGAAAACAAAGUCCCAGGUGCAUUUCAUGACAGCCCCUCCUCUGCCUUCCUGGUCUGUACGCUCCUCUGCCCUAGGAGGUAACCAUUGUUCUCAUUUCCACAUAACAGUUUUGCCUACUCUUGCCCUUUACAUAAAAGGAACCUUUCAGUACAUUCCCUUUUGUGUCUGGCCUCUUUUCCCCAGCGUGAGCGUCACCACGCUGCUGAGAUUGUUCUCUGCUGUGUGUGUGUAGUUCUCCUUCGGAUGCACAGGCCACAGUUCACUUACUCAUUUACUGAUGAGCGUUUGGGGUUUUGACUAUUAGGAAUAAAGUUAUGAUGAACAUUCUUCAAUGUGUUCGUUAUUGGAGAGAAGUGAAACCGGCCCAGUUGCCCCAUAGAACUGAUGUUUAUGGUUUCUUUGGAUAAACAGUCUCACAAGAUCAGAUCCUCCUUGUCUUAUCUGAGUUCCUUUCCCAAGAAACCACCUAUCAGGCCUCCCAGAUAGAAUAAAAAAAAAACUCCCAAGACCGCCACACCCUCCCUGCCUCCCAGAUAGAAUCAAGGAAACUUACGAGACCCCCACACCCUCCAGCCUGGAAAUUGCCUAACCCACCAUCUGCUUCCUGGUGACCGACUCUUCCUCACCCCUCCCUGAUUCCUGUUUUCACACACAUGGUUACAUUUCUUCUCUGCUACAUAAACCCCUGAUUUUCGUGGGUCAGGGGAUGGGCUGAGACUGAUCUCCCAUCUCCUGGGCUGCGGCAGGGGAUUAAAGCUUCUUCUCUGGCAAUGCUCCUUGUCUCAGUGACUGGCUUUUUGUGUGGCGAGCAGCAGCACCUAGACAAACCCCUGGUGUUUCUGUAACAUACAUACACACUCAUUUCUCUUCAAUAUAGAACAAGAGAGAAACAUGUGGGUCAAAGGACCUGAAUAUGUUAGGGAAGAGGAGGGAUUUCCAGACAUUUCUGUGCAGUGGUGGCACCAAUUAAUAUGCUCACCAACCGUGCACGGGGGUCCUAACUGCCUCACAUCUACACCCACACGGGGUACAGCCAGCCUUUAAUUUCAGCCAUUCUGCUGGAGCACUGCAGUAUCUCAGCGUGGUUUUCAUUUGAGUUUCCCCGAUGAAGAGUGAGGUUGAGCCCCUUUGCAUACAUGUAUCUGCCACUUGCUAUCUUCUUUUGGGAAGGCUCCCGUAAGUUAUUUUUGAAAUUGGGUUGUCAGUCGGUUUCAUAUUGUGAGUCUGUCACUACUGUUUGUGCAUGAAGAAUUGAGUA
rnacentral:lncRNA from 1 species